GCAAGUCGAGGGGUAACAGGGAUUAGUUUACUAAUUUGCUGACGACCGGCGCACGGGUGAGUAACGCGUAUACAAUUUACCUUUUACUGGAGAAUAGCCCAGAGAAAUUUGGAUUAAUGCUCCAUGGUAUUAAUUGUUCACCUGGCCUAUUAAUUAAAGUUCCGGCGGUAAGAGAUGAGUAUGCGUCCUAUUAGCUAGAUGGUAGGUAACGGCUUACCAAGGCGACGAUGGGUAGGGGUCCUGAGAGGGAGAUC
rnacentral:rRNA from 1 species